UGGGGAAUUUUGCACAAUGGGGGAAACCCUGAUGCAGCGACGCCGCGUGAUUUAGAAGGCCUUCGGGUUGUAAAAAUCUUUUCUAUGGGAAGAAAAUGACAGUACCAUAGGAAUAAGGACCGGCUAAUUACGUGCCAGCAGCCGCGGUAAUACGUAAGGUCCGAGCGUUGUCCGGAAUCAUUGGGCGUAAAGGGUACGUAGGCGGGUAAGCAAGUUAGAAGUGAAAUCCUAUAGCUCAACUAUAGUAAGCUUUUAAAACUGCUCACCUUGAGGUAUGGAAGGGAAAGUGGAAUUCCUAGUGUAGCGGUGAAAUGCGCAGAUAUUAGGAGGAAUACCGGUGGCGAAGGCGACUUUCUGGCCAUAACCUGACGCUGAGGUACGAAAGCGUGGGUAGCAAACAGG
rnacentral:rRNA from 1 species